rnacentral:rRNA from 1 species
CAGUCGCCGCGGGAAUACGGAGGGUGCAAGCGUUAAUCGGAAUUACUGGGCGUAAAGCGUGCGUAGGCGGUUCGUUAAGUCUGUUGUGAAAGCCCCGGGCUCAACCUGGGAAUGGCAGUGGAUACUGGCUCGCUAGAGUGUGUCAGAGGAUGGUGGAAUUCCCGGUGUAGCGGUGAAAUGCGUAGAGAUCGGGAGGAACAUCAGUGGCGAAGGCGGCCAUCUGGGACAACACUGACGCUGAGGCACGAAAGCGUGGGGAGCAAACAGGAUUAGAUACCCCAGUAGUCCCUGUCUCUUAUAA